CCAAUGCUACCAAACACUGGCUCAACCCUCCUCAGUUAGAUCUCGUCAAACAGCGAGGCGUGAAUUCGCUCCUUGACUUACUUGCCUUGCUAUUUAAGGAGAUCCAAUUGAGGAGGGUUGAGCCAGUUUUUGGUAGCAUUGG
rnacentral:pre_miRNA from 1 species